rnacentral:rRNA from 2 species
GUGCAGUCGAGCGACUGAUUAGAAGCUUGCUUCUAUGACGUUAGCGGCGGACGGGUGAGUAACACGUGGGCAACCUGCCUGUAAGACUGGGAUAACUUCGGGAAACCGAAGCUAAUACCGGAUAGGAUCUUCUCCUUCAUGGGAGAUGAUUGAAAGAUGGUUUCGGCUAUCACUUACAGAUGGGCCCGCGGUGCAUUAGCUAGUUGGUGAGGUAACGGCUCACCAAGGCAACGAUGCAUAGCCGACCUGAGAGGGUGAUCGGCCACACUGGGACUGAGACACGGCCCAGACUCCUACGGGAGGCAGCAGUAGGGAAUCUUCCGCAAUGGACGAAAGUCUGACGGAGCAACGCCGCGUGAGUGAUGAAGGCUUUCGGGUCGUAAAACUCUGUUGUUAGGGAAGAACAAGUAUGAGAGUAACUGCUCGUACCUUGACGGUACCUAACCAGAAAGCCACGGCUAACUACGUGCCAGCAGCCGCGGUAAUACGUAGGUGGCAAGCGUUAUCCGGAAUUAUUGGGCGUAAAGCGCGCGCAGGCGGUUUCUUAAGUCUGAUGUGAAAGCCCACGGCUCAACCGUGGAGGGUCAUUGGAAACUGGGGAACUUGAGUGCAGAAGAGAAAAGCGGAAUUCCACGUGUAGCGGUGAAAUGCGUAGAGAUGUGGAAGAACAGCCAGUGGCGAAAGCGGCUUUUUGGUCUGUAACUGACGCUGAGGCGCGAAAGCGUGGGGAGCAAACACGAUUAAUACCCUGGUAUCCACC